GCAAUUUAGAAAAGAGAAAAGGGAAAAAGCAAGAGAUCAAGAACUGGAGAAGAGAAAGAGCUUUUCUUUCUUCUUUCUCUCUGGCGCCCACCAGAGAUCUUUUUCGCUAUUAGAAUUAUUAAUCAUUUUGAAAGAGGAAAAAGAAAAGAAGGAAGAGAGAACAAGAACAUCUCCUCUCUCUAUCUAUUACGUUUUUCCUUUUUCAGUACCUUAACAGGUAUUGAAGCUUUCCCAUUUUCC
rnacentral:lncRNA from 1 species